AGCGAACGCUGGCGGCAGGCCUAACACAUGCAAGUCGAACGAACCCUUCGGGGUUAGUGGCGGACGGGUGAGUAACGCGUGGGAACGUGCCUUUAGGUUCGGAAUAACUCAGGGAAACUUGUGCUAAUACCGAAUGUGCCCUUCGGGGGAAAGAUUUAUCGCCUUUAGAGCGGCCCGCGUCUGAUUAGCUAGUUGGUGAGGUAAUGGCUCACCAAGGCUACGAUCAGUAGCUGGUCUGAGAGGAUGACCAGCCACAUUGGGACUGAGACACGGCCCAAACUCCUACGGGAGGCAGCAGUGGGGAAUCUUGCGCAAUGGGCGAAAGCCUGACGCAGCCAUGCCGCGUGGAUGAUGAAGGUCUUAGGAUUGUAAAAUCCUUUCACCGGUGAAGAUAAUGACUGUAGCCGGAGAAGAAGCACCGGCUAACUUCGUGCCAGCCGCCGCUGUAAAAC
rnacentral:rRNA from 1 species